GGUUGUUUGGCCGAGCGGUCUAAGGCGCCUGAUUCAAGAUAAAUAUCUUGACGCUGUAAAACAGCGGAAUCCUCAGGUAUCGUAAGAUGCAAGAGUUCGAAUCUCUUAGCAACCA
rnacentral:tRNA from 1 species